AGAAAAGGGGUGGCUAGUAGGUGGAAUAGCGAGGCUUCCUAUUUCUCUGCAAUUGCUGGCAAGUUAAUAUCUUUUCUGUUUUUCUCUUCCAUUCGUCCAUAUUAUUUUCUUCUCUGUUACUCUAUUUUCUAUUGUAAAAAGAAGGAGGCUUCCUUUUUUUUCUUCUUUUGUUCCUUCAGUGGUACCGCUUUGCUAAAAUACAAGAUUAAUGGCUCUUGUGUUAAUGGAUUUCUGAUUUUUCCACAAGGGUUCUUUGUAAUAUAUCUAUUAGGGUAGUCUCUCUCAAUGGUUUGUUUCUUUUGUUGCUGUUAUAUUCAGUGGAGUUUCAGACGAAAGCUAUACUAAAAGUGGCAAAACAAUCUUACAAUCUUAUUUUCCAGGUCAAAGGAGCAAUUUUUAUUUUUAUUUUUAUUUUUACCGUUGUGGGUGGCGUAAAAGAAGGAAUGGGGUUCAGAGUUUGGGGUCGCGCUGAUGGCUGAUGGCCAAUCUUUUAUUUGUCUAUAUUGAUGUUGCUUAUAAUAGAAAAUCUGAUGAUAUAAUUCUUGAUAUCACCAUUGUAAGGAUGCUGCUAUACUAUUUUAGGGGCUGUUAUGAGGUUAUUUCGUAGAAAUACUUUUUAGCCAUUUUCAACAAUACUUUUUUCUUUUCUUUUUUUGACUCUAUUAAUGAGUAGUUCAGGUGAUAUUGUGAUGUUUCUUUUGUCGUGAUAUUGCUUAUGGGACACGCUGAUGUACUAAGCUUGUUGUUGGCGGCUGGUGUUUGGUGUGCAACAUACGUGUUGGUUGCAGUUCUUGGCGUCUUUCAGAUUUUCAGUUUUCUCAGAACCUCUGUCUUCGGUUGAUCGCUUGAUUCUAGCCGUGUGUAAAAGUAACCGAAAAGGGAGUGGUCAUGGGUUACGCGCAGUUAGUUAUUGGCCCUGCAGGCAGUGGAAAGUCCACUUACUGCUCUAGUUUGUAUCAACACUGUGAGACCACACGACGCACCAUCCAUAUUGUGAACCUAGAUCCUGCUGCAGAGAACUUUGACUAUCCAGUGGCUAUGGACAUCAGAGAACUCAUCUCGCUGGAUGAUGUUAUGGAAGAACUUGGUCUCGGACCAAAUGGUGGCCUUAUGUAUUGCAUGGAACAUCUUGAAGAAAAUUUGGACGACUGGCUUACAGAAGAGUUGGACAACUACUUGGAUGAUGACUACCUAGUGUUUGACUGCCCAGGCCAGAUUGAACUUUUCUCACAUGUUCCUGUGCUGAAGAACUUUGUGGAACACCUAAGGCGUAAAAAUUUUAAUGUUUGUGUUGUGUAUUUACUUGAUUCUCAGUUUAUUACAGAUGUAACCAAAUUCAUAAGUGGUUGUAUGGCUUCUCUCUCUGCUAUGGUUCAACUUGAACUGCCCCAUGUUAACAUUCUGUCGAAGAUGGAUCUUGUCACAAACAAAAAGGAAAUUGAGAAUUACUUGAAUCCAGAGCCUCAGUUGUUACUGGCAGAGUUGAAUCAGCGAAUGGCUCCACAAUUUCAGAAGCUUAACAAAUCAUUGAUUGAAGUGGUUAUUUCUCCAAGUUAGAUUCAAGAUUGUAGAGGCUCGUAAGAUAUGCCUAGUCCGCCAUUGAUUCUGUUGUACUUGACUCAUCGCUUUCGAAUGAAAAGAUAUAAGAAGAAAGUGACCAUAAUGGCUGAUAUUUGCUUGUGUACAGGUGGACCAAUACAGCAUGCAUACAGUACAUCUUAUCUCAGAUCGACAACUGCAUUCAGUAUGGAGAGGAUGCUGAUGUAAAGGUUAAAGAUUUUGACGAAGAGGAGGACGAUUAGAAGUUAAUUUUUCUUGACAUCGUUCUAGAAUCAACGAGCUCUUGGGAGGUGGUGGGUGGUGAAAAUGUAUUAACAAGUGUCUUUUGUGAGACUUGCCUUUUUUGAGCUUUACCUCUGUGAAAUUACAUCAUCUGCUGAUUAAGUUGCUUUUGCAUUAUAAUUACCCAUCA